UACGUAGGGGGCGAGCGUUGUCCGGAUUCAUUGGGCGUAAAGAGCUCGUAGGCGGUUUGGCAAGUCGGGUGUGAAAUCUCUGGGCUCAACUCAGAGAGGCCACUCGAUACUGCUAUGACUAGAGUCCGGUAGGGGACCAUGGAAUUCCUGGUGUAGCGGUGGAAUGCGUAGAUAUCAGGAGGAACACCGGUGGCGAAGGCGGCUUUCUGGACAGAUACCGACGCUGAGGCACGAAAGCUAGGGGAGCAAACAGG
rnacentral:rRNA from 1 species